AGGAAAAGAAACUAACAAGGAUUCCCCUAGUAACUGCGAGUGAAGAGGGAAAAGCUCAAAUUUAAAAUCUGGCGGGCUCUGUCCGUCCGAGUUGUAAUCUGGAGAAGCGUUUUCCGCGUCGGACCGUGCACAAGUCUCCUGGAACGGAGCGUCAUAGAGGGUGAGAAUCCCGUCCAUGGCACGGACUGCCGAUGCUUUGUGAUACGUUUUCAAAGAGUCGAGUUGUUUGGGAAUGCAGCUCAAAACGGGUGGUAAAUUCCAUCUAAAGCUAAAUAUUGGCGAGAGACCGAUAGCGAACAAGUACCGUGAGGGAAAGAUGAAAAGCACUUUGAAAAGAGAGUUAAACAGUACGUGAAAUUGUUGAAAGGGAAACGCUUGAAGUCAGUCGCGUCCGACGGAACUCAGCCUUGCUUCGGCCUGGUGUACUUUCUGUCGGACGGGUCAACAUCAGUUUUGACCGGUGGAAAAAGGUGAGGGGAAUGUAGCGCCGUUUCGGCGGCGUGUUAUAGCCCCUUGCUGUAUGCAUCGGUUGGGACUGAGGACCGCAGCACGCCUUUUUGGCCGGGGGUUCGCCCUACGUACCGUGCUUAGGAUGUUGGCAUAAUGGCUUUAAGCGACCCGUC
rnacentral:rRNA from 1 species